rnacentral:rRNA from 1 species
ACGAACGCUGGCGGCGUGCUUAACACAUGCAAGUCGAACGGAAAGGCCCUGCUUUUGUGGGGUGCUCGAGUGGCGAACGGGUGAGUAACACGUGAGUAACCUGCCCUUGACUUUGGGAUAACUUCAGGAAACUGGGGCUAAUACCGGAUAGGAGCUCCUGCUGCAUGGUGGGGGUUGGAAAGUUUCGGCGGUUGGGGAUGGACUUGCGGCUUAUCAGCUUGUUGGUGGGGUAGUGGCUUACCAAGGCUUUGACGGGUAGCCGGCCUGAGAGGGUGACCGGCCACAUUGGGACUGAGGUACGGCCCAGACUCCUACGGGAGGCAGCAGUGGGGAAUAUUGCACAAUGGGCGGACGCCUGAUGCAGCAACGCCGCGUGCGGGAUGACGGCCUUCGGGUUGUAAACCGCUUUCGAAUGUGACGAAGCGUGAGUGACGGUAAUGGGUAAAGAAGCACCGGCUAACUACGUG